GACGUAGGGCGCGAGCGUUGUCCGGAUUUAUUGGGCGUAAAGAGCUCGUAGACGGCUUGUCGCGUCGACUGUGAAAUCCCGCGGCUCAACCGCGGGUCUGCAGUCGAUACGGGCAGGCUAGAGUUCGGUAGGGGAGACUGGAAUUCCUGGUGUAGCGGUGAAAUGCGCAGAUAUCAGGAGGAACACCGGUGGCGAAGGCGGUGGUCUGGGCCGGCACUGACGCUGAGGAGCGAAAGCGUGGGGAGCGAACAGG
rnacentral:rRNA from 1 species